CUCUGUGGCUUCAGGGCUUAGUAGUGUGGCGUGUUGGUUUAGUUACUCUGUAGCGUGUGGAAUCUUAGUUCCCAGACCAGGGAUUGAACCAAAGUCCUCUGCAUUGCAAGGCGGAGUCUUAACCACUGGUUGUUGUUGUUUAUAGUCGCUCAGUCGUGUCCGACUCUUUGCGACCCAUGGACUGCAGCACACCAGGCUUCUCUGUCCUCCACUGUGCCCUGGAGUUUGCUCAAGUUCAUGUCCACUGAGUUGGUGUUGCUAUCUAACCAUCUCACACUUUGCCGCUCUCUUCUCCUUUUGCCCUCAAUCUUUCCUAGCCUCAGAGUCUUUUCCAGUGAGUCCACUCUUCACAGCAGGUGGCUAAAUUAUUCGAGCUUAAGCUUCAGCAACCGCUGAAGCACCAGGGAAGUCCCUAGGUGGUGUUUUUUGGCUCUGCACCUAUCUGCCUCGAAAAGUACCCAAAUGGAUGUGAAGUAAAUCGCUGGGCUCCUGUCAACAUCUAAACCAAGGCAUUCCUGCUGCAGAACUUCCAGAACAGUGCAUUUAAAGGUGGCUGAGUGGUGAAGAAUCUGCUUACCAAUGCAGGAGACACAGGAG
ensembl:lncRNA